rnacentral:rRNA from 1 species
GAACGAACGCUGGCGGCAUGCCUAACACAUGCAAGUCGAACGAGACCUUCGGGUCUAGUGGCGCACGGGUGCGUAACGCGUUGGAACCUGCCCUUAGGUUCGGAAUAACUCCCCGAAAGGGGUGCUAAUACCGGAUAAUGUCUUCGGACCAAAGAUUUAUCGCCUUUGGAUGGGCCCGCGUUGGAUUAGCUAGUUGGUAGGGUAAAAGCCUACCAAGGCGACGAUCCAUAGCUGGUCUGAGAGGAUGAUCAGCCACACUGGGACUGAGACACGGCCCAGACUCCUACGGGAGGCAGCAGUGGGGAAUAUUGGACAAUGGGCGAAAGCCUGAUCCAGCAAUGCCGCGUGAGUGAUGAAGGCCUUAGGGUUGUAAAGCUCUUUUACCCGGGAUGAUAAUGACAGUACCGGGAGAAUAAGCUCCGGCUAACUCCGUG